rfam:Schistosoma mattheei strain Denwood, Zambia genome assembly, scaffold: SMTD_contig0013498
AUCCAGUUGACAAGUCCCAAAUAGGAUGAAACACGCGUCCUGGAU